UAUCGGAUUUAACUGCCAAUAAAAUGCAACAGGCAAAAUAGUUGGGAUGGACUGCGUGGAAAGAGGGUUGCACCGCAGAAACAUCGGCUAACUAUUGCAUAAAUUAGUCCGUCAAAGUCCGACAAAUUUUAACGGCAGACUAACUGGGAAGAUUUUGGAACGACAAUUCACAAAGGCAAAAACUGCUUAUCGGCCUACUAAAAAUAAACAGACUUAAAAUGAAGAAGAGAACACAAAAUUCAAUUUUCCUCCCAAAAAAUGGAUACAUACGCAAACUAAAUAAACAUUUGACACUCGCAAGUUAAACAUUUUUCUUAUGGUUUAUUCAUUGAUGUUGUAGCUGUACGAUACACGGUACAAUAAACCUAAAUCGGGACCGCGCUAAAUUUGAAUAAUUUUAGAGAUUAAUUUUUCGAAUUACAGAAAUAUAUGUAUACUGCGAAAAAACUGGUCUGUGACCUUAACCAAAUAAAAGGCUCAAAACCGA